rnacentral:sRNA from 1 species
ACCGCGAUGUAAUUUUGUUAGCCUGUGA